rnacentral:lncRNA from 1 species
UUCUGUAUAUAUAUAUAUUUCAAUUUAUUAAGGCAUUAUGUAUUGAAUUACCUUGUAAAGAUAGUGUCUACAGACGAAAAGUCUGUAUUGUAACAUAGAGCUUAUUAUUUCCACAGCUUAUUACAUUUUAAAGAGUAUGUUUUUGUGAAAUUAAGCUAUACUAAAUUCUACAGGUUAGCUGGGUUCCUGACAUAAGGCUGGGAUUUGUUGUGAGACACAGAGAGGACGAAGAGCAAAUUUUACUGUUAUUGUUUCUAGGCUGGUGAAGCUAGAAAUGCAUUUAAGCUCCCAGGUCUGGCCACAACUUGGUCAUGGCAAGUCUUACCAGACACCAGACCCCAUCUUCUCUGCAGUUUUAUCAAUCUGGGGAAAUGACUUAUGGGCUUCCUUCUAAGCUUCCUUACCCUGCAUAGCGUAGACAUGCCUACAAGGUGAGGUUUUGUGAUGCAGCCAAGCCAGUGAUACCCUUUGUGACUUCAGAAUGAGGCAGUCCACCCCUAACUGCCCUCCUACUACAGCUGUUGUGCCAAUACAGAUUCUUGUCUGAUCCCACAAUAUGUCAGUUUAGGGAGUUAAACCAGCAUAAAACUAUUUAUGGUUAACUUGUGUGGUUAUUUUUUCUCCUGGUUAAUGUUCUCAUAUUGAGUUAUCCUUUGAAUCCAUUUCAACCUGCACCCUGCCAAGAAAAAAAUGCAGAGAAAAGCAGUGUAGGAAAGGAGGAGGAGGUGGCCAGUCACAGGUGGGUUUCUGCAGAACAAAGAGAGACUGACAGAAAAAUGUGCUGAUGUUCAUGAAGUUGAAAAAGCUGCUUUGGCAGAAAAGGGUACUGGAUUUGGUCAGCUGAAUCUGUUCUUUUAUCUGACAUAUGUAUAUGACAAGGGAAGGAGGAGGAAGGAGGAAACUGGGAAAAUCAGAAGUGAGACAGCUGGUACUUUUCUAUUUGUCACCACUCAGUGUUCUUCUAUCACCAGAGAGUGUGUAGAGAGUGAUACAUGCAACUAACACCCCACGGGAGGAGAGAACUGCCAAGAGCUGAUGCAAACACAGGAAGCAGCUGCCAGCAGCCUUGUUUUUCUCUCUGUGAAAGAGAGAUACCGUGAGGUAACAGGGAAUAGAA